rnacentral:rRNA from 1 species
CCUUGACAUACUAAGAACUUUCCAGAGAUGGAUUGGUGCCUUCGGGAACUUAGAUACAGGUGCUGCAUGGCUGUCGUCAGCUCGUGUCGUGAGAUGUUCGGGUUAAGUCCCGNAACGAGCGCAACCCUUUUCCUAUUUGCCAGCGGGUCAUGCCGGGAACUUUAAGGAUACUGCCAGUGACAAACUGGAGGAAGGCGGGGACGACGUCAAGUCAUCAUGGCCCUUACGGCCAGGGCUACACACGUGCUACAAUGGUCGGUACAAAGGGUUGCUACCUCGCGAGAGGAUGCUAAUCUCAAAAAGCCGAUCGUAGUCCGGAUCGCAGUCUGCAACUCGACUGCGUGAAGUCGGAAUCGCUAGUAAUCGCGGAUCAGAAUGCCGCGGUGAAUACGUUCCCGGGCCUUGUACACACCGCCCGUCACACCAUGGGAGUUUGUUGCACCAGAAGUAGGUAGUCUAACCGCAAGGAGGACGCUUACCACGGUGUGGCCGAUGACUGGGGUGAAGUCGUAACAAGGUAGGCGUAGAUGA